AGUGAACGCUGGCGGUAGGCCUAACACAUGCAAGUCGAACGGCAGCACAGUAAGCGCUUGCUCUUACGGGUGGCGAGUGGCGGACGGGUGAGGAAUACAUCGGAAUCUAAUUUUUCGUGGGGGAUAACGUAGGGAAACUUACGCUAAUACCGCAUACGACCUACGGGUGAAAGCAGGGGAGCUUCGGACCUUUCGCGAUUGAAUGAGCCGAUGUCGGAUUAGCUAGUUGGCGGGGUAAAGGCCCACCAAGGCGACGAUCCGUAGCUGGUCUGAGAGGAUAAUCAGCCACACUGGAACUGGGACACGGGUCAGACUCCUAAGGGAGGCAGCAGUGGGGAAUAUUGGAGAAUGGGCGCAAGCCUGAUCCAGGCAUACCGCGUUGGUGAAGAAGGCCUUCGGGUUGUAAAGCCCUUUUUUUGGGAAAGAAAAGCAGCAGGUUAAUACCCCGCUGUUCUGACGGUACCCAAAGAAUAAGCACCGGCUAACUUCGUG
rnacentral:rRNA from 1 species